AUUGAACGCUGGCGGCAGGCCUAACACAUGCAAGUCGAACGAGUGGCGGACGGGUGAGUAAUGUCUGGGAAACUGCCUAAUGGCGGGGGAUAACUACUGGAAACGGUAGCUAAUACCGCAUACCAUCGGAUGUGCCCAUAUGGGAUUAGCUUGUUGGGGGGGUAACGGCUCACCAAGGCAACGAUCCCUAGCUGGUUUGAGAGGACGACCAGCCACACUUGAACUGAGACACGGUCCAGACUCCUACGGGAGGCAGCAGUGGGGAAUUUUGCACAAUGGGCGCAAGCCUGAUCCAGCCAUGCCGCGUGUAUGAAGAAGGCCUUCGGGUUGUAAAGUACUUUUGGCAGGGAGGCGUUAUCCGCAGAAUAAGCACCGGCUAACUCCGUGCCAGCAGCCGCGGUAAUUC
rnacentral:rRNA from 1 species